ensembl:lncRNA
CCAGAAGACUUUGUUGUAAAAUGUGGUUGUCUGCAGAGGAAAUGACACUUAGAUGGUCGGAUGGAAGGAACGGUCUUGCCUGAUUCUCUAACUCCUCUCAGAGUGCCUGUAUUUAGAAACUUCAGGACUUAAGGAGACUUCUGCUCACCGUGUUCCCUGGAGGCCUCGCGCUGAAGAGGACUGCAUCCUGGCGCGUGCUUCUCGCUCCUGUCUUGGCUGGGGGGCGAGGAGGCCGCGGAUUAUUCACUGGCUCUCAGAGCAUCCACCUGGAAGUGACACUCUGCACUUUUGCUCCUGCAUCACUGGCCAAAGGUUGGCAGGGACGCUGGUCACAUUGCUUUGCUCUGGGACGCAGCCUGAUGGAGCACCGGCUUUCAGGAACGUCACAGAUCUCGUGGAAGAGGGAGAAGGUGGGCAGUUGCAGGCCUCUUCCACAUGGACAACGAGUGUGUAAAUCCUGUGGACAGAUUGAUCUGAGAAGAGAGAGCAAAUGGCUGAGAUGGGCAUGCUGGGUCUUUCUCCUGAACUCAGCAAUCAGCUUGGAUAUGUGCAUCCACAUCACAAUUGGAGUAAAGAGGCAGAAAUGAAGAAAGCUGAAAUACAACUAUGCAAGUGAAUUGAGUUAUUGGAGGAGCUGGGGAGUGAUAAUUCUACUGAAUGCUGCUGGUUGGAGCUCAUUGGGAACAUUGUGGACCUGAAACUGUGGAGAGCAACUUCGACCAAGCAGAGAGAUCUCAGAGAAGGUCGGCCAAGUGGGACGGGACGUAGAGAAGGUCAGAGCCGUAGAUGGAAGGAGCUGGAUUUCUGAAUGACCGCAUGGAAGAUUGCCCGCCAAGCAGGAACAGUCGCAUUGGACUUUGCCUGAGUGAGAAAUCAACUUUAUUGUGUCGAAGCACCAAGAUUUUGGAGUAUAAAUGUGAAGCUGCUAGGGUCUUCUUAUUCCAACUGGUACUACAGGAUAUCCUCAAUGAGAGGAAAAAUAUGCAACUGAAGUUAGGGAUUGUGUACUGCCCUUUCCAGUCUUAAGAGAACUCAGAGAGGAGGCAGGAGCAGACAACUUAGCCCUGAGUGGCAUCCUGAGGCUUCCUGUUGCUAAUGUUUUCUCCUGUCUAAUUUAUAAACUUCGUGAGACAUGUUGCCAUGUCUUGUACCUUUUUCUAUAUUUAACAUUUCAGUGGAUAUUUAUUGAGAAAUGACAUAUACUUUGGGGAUUUCAAAAGAAAUAUAGGUAACACAUAUUGUUAAAUAUUUUGUUCAUUUAUUCAACAAUUUUUGACCAUUUGCUAUGGGCCGGCCACUGGUAAAUGCUGAUGAGCAAAAGCUACAGUACCUGCCCAUGAGUUGGAGUACAGCAAGGAAAACAAGAUAACAAAGAGGCAAGACUAGUCCAGUAUGAUAAUGCUAUGAGGAAGAAGAACAGGAUGUUCUGGGUGCUCACAAAGGGGCUGGUGACAAAGGUAGCAGUCAGAGAAUUGUUCUCUAAGGAGGUGAUGAAUAAACUGAGACCUCAAGGAUAAGUAGGAGUAGCCAGAAGAAGAAACAGCGGAGAGAGAAAGAGCGUUCUAGGAAGAGGGCGUGCACAUACAAAAUCCUGAAGGUGGGGCGUGUUUGGAGGGACCAAAAGGUAAGCUGGAAAGGAAGAAUGGAGAGGAUGAGCAUGAGAUGAGGGCCACGUAAUAUAUUUGGGCACAUUCCUAAUAAAUGCAUACAGAAGGCCUUGUACUGUAAUAUGUGUAUGCAUUUACCUAGCAGAAAAUAUGGCCGAUUAACCAGCAAGAUGUCAACAGUUGUGAUAUUUGGGUAAUUUCCAUUUUUCCCCUUAUGCUUUUCUGUUUAAAACUUUCCACAAUAAACACGUAUUACACUUGUAAUAAAAAAAUCAAAAUAGGGCCAGCCCCAUGGCCGAGUGGUUAAAGUUCCGCGCACUCUGCUUUGGCGGCCCGGGGUUUGCGGGUUUGGAUCCUGGGCCUGGACCUGCUCCACUCAUCAGCCAUGCGGUGGUGGCAUCCCACAUACUAAGUAGAGGAAGAUUGGCACAGAUGUUAGCUCAGGGCUAAUCGUCCUCAAGCAAAAAAAAGAGGAAGAUUGGCACAGAUGUUAGCUCAGGGCGAAUCUUCCUCACGCACACACAAAAUAAAUCAAAGUCAAUGUUUUUCUUAUUAGUUAUAGCUGCACCUGCUGUCCAUCAUUGGAUCCUCACAAAAGUCCUCUGAGCAAACAGAGGUCCAGAGCUGAUCUCCAGGGAAGCUGGAAUCAGCCUUCCUAAGGCCCCGCUCAGUCCCCUUUCUCCGCGGCUCCUGCCUCCUCUGCAGUUUUCUGAGUGGUGACGAUGGCUUUUCUUGUUGCUGCUGUCUUCAGGGCAGUGGUGCGUGUGUGUGUAGUUUGCAACCUGGAGAAACCGGGUCACCAUCUUCAUGAUCCUGACAUACCUAGGAGGCUUCCCACCUGAAGAGGUGGGUCCCCUGCAUCAGUAGCCCCAGACUUAUCUUCUUUGUGGUGCUGUUAUGUUCUGUCAUUGGCAGUAGGGGAGAAGGUCACUGCUAAUUUUUAAAAAUGAAGUUAGGGAGGAGAUUGUUGCCCGUUAUUCCGUCAACCCACAUCUUGAUCGACUAGCAUGUGGGUGCUUGGCCACACCAGUGAUGAUGAGUAUUUUCAGUGAACACCCAAACACUUGAGAGUCUUGAAACACUGUAUUAGCAUUUUCUAAAUUAUGUUGUGGCAACAAACCAGCCCUCAGAUCUCAGAGGCUUAAAACACACGAGUUUAUUUCAUAUGCAUGUUACGUUCCCAUCCUGACUUAGGCGUUAACUCUUUACUCUGAGACCCAGGCUGAAGGAGCAGCCCCCGUCUGAGAUAUUGCUGUGUGUCCCAGGGAAGAGGAGGAGGUGACACCGUGGGAUAGCUCUUAAAGCUUUGCCCGCAUGUCACUUCCACUCAUCUUUGAUUGGUCAAUCAAUUUGAUUGACCAAGGCUUGAUGGGGAGGGAGGGGCAGCAAAUGGUUUGGCAAACACCUUUUCAGCAAACUGAGUCUCAGUUUCUUUAGCUACAAAAUGGAAAUAGGUAAAAUACGUUAUGUUAUAUUCAAACCAUCGAAUAUCAUGUAGUCAUUUUAAAAGAUGAGUUAAUUGCCCUUAAAAAGAUGAGUUGACUUGAAGAAAAGCCCAUGAUACAACAUUACAUGAAGGAAGCAAGUUGCAGAGUCAUGUGCAUAGCAUGGGCUUAUUUUUGCAUAAAUUAAAAAAAACCCUAUAUCGGAGUAUAUUUGUUUGCAUGAGAAUAUUAAUAAAAACUGCCAACGUUUAUUGAGUGCUUAUAUCACAUGCUCAUCACUGUGCUAAGUGCCUUUUUACAUGCAUUUGCUCAUUUAAUCCUUCGGAAGCUCAGAGAAAAGAGUAGAAAGUUACAUAUCAAAUGGUUAUGAUCAGCUACCUUACUUGAGGGUGGGAUUAGAGAGAUUUUAUUCACUUUUUAAAAUAUAUGAUUUCUAUAAAUUUUUACUUGUCACAAUUGGUGGAUUAAUCAGCUUUUGUUGUGAAACAAACUGCCACAGAAUCUGAGUGCUGUAGAGUGUUAAGUAUUUUAUUUUCCGCUUGUGGGUCCGCAGACCAGCUGAGGCGUCAGCCUUCCCAAGUCCCCAUCCCCUUUCUCCCCACUGUGCCUGCCUCCCCUGCACAUUUCUAAGGAGUGAUGAUGGCUUUUCCUGGAGCUGCUGACUUUAGUGCAGUGUUGUGUGUAUUCACGUGUAACCUGGAGAAAUAGGGCUGGGGGUCAAAUUCAGAUCUGCUCCAUGUGUCUCAUUCUAGAAUCAUCCUAGAGAGGCAGAAUCUACCAGGGAUCUGUUCCCCUCAUGGCGGAGAUUGGAGUCAAUGGAAACACAGGAAGGUUUUUGAGACCGAGGCUUUGAAUUAGUAUGUCAUCACUUUGCCUGCAUCAUGUUAGUUGCAGCAAGUCACUUGGCCAAGUCUAAUAUCAGUGGAGCUGGGAAGUCAUGGAGGUUGUGGAAGGGGGAGUUUAUAGCAAUAUACUACAAUAAGCAUUAAUUGCUUUCUUGGUUAAAAAAAAUAACAAAGUGAGGAAAAGAGAAAUACUUACCAGGGAUAGUUUAAAUUGCGUUCAAUAUGUUCCAAAGGUGCAUUAUGCAUUUCUUAAAAAUUCAAACUCCAUAUCUACAGUUAUGAUGAGCACAGUGACAUGAGCACGGACGUUUAAUGAACAGAGUCUUCAUCGCCUGGUGGGGCAGGGAGGCGUUUGCACCAGCUUGGCUUAUGCUGCCUGUGGUGUGGCAGAAUGCAUUAUCUGGAG